rnacentral:rRNA from 1 species
UACGUAGGUGGCAAGCGUUGUCCGGAAUUAUUGGGCGUAAAGCGCGCGUAGGCGGUCACCUAAGUCGAAUGUGAAAGCCCUCGGCUCAACCGGGGAAGUGCAUCCGAAACUGGGCGACUGGAGUACCAAAGAGGGUCGCGGAAUUCCCGGUGUAGAGGUGAAAUUCGUAGAUAUCGGGAGGAACACCGGCGGCGAAGGCGGCGACCUGGUUGGAUACUGACGCUGAGGCGCGAAAGCGUGGGGAGCAAACAGG